ACCUACGGGGGGCAGCAGUGGGGAAUAUUGCACAAUGGGGGAAACCCUGAUGCAGCAACGCCGCGUGAAGGAAGACGGUUUUCGGAUUGUAAACUUCUGUUCUUAGUGAAGAAGAAUGACGGUACCUGCAAAGGAAGCACCGGCUAACUCCGUGCCAGCAGCCGCGGUAAUACGGAGGGUGCGAGCGUUAAUCGGAAUUACUGGGCGUAAAGCGCUCGUAGGCGGUAUGUCAAGUCAAGGGUGAAAUCCCCGCGCUCAACGUGGGAACUGCCUUUGAAACUGGCAAACUGGAGUGUGUGAGAGGG
rnacentral:rRNA from 1 species